rnacentral:siRNA from 1 species
CCUGUCUUCAAAAGAGGAGACCCA